CCUACGGGGUGCAGCAGUGGGGAAUAUUGGACAAUGGGGGCAACCCUGAUCCAGCCAUGCCGCGUGUGUGAAGAAGGCCCUCGGGUUGUAAAGCACUUUCAGUGAGGAAGAACGCCUGGUGGUUAAUACCCAUCAGGAAAGACAUCACUCACAGAAGAAGCACCGGCUAACUCCGUGCCAGCAGCCGCGGUAAUACGGAGGGUGCGAGCGUUAAUCGGAAUUACUGGGCGUAAAGCGCGCGUAGGUGGCUUGAUAAGCCGGUUGUGAAAGCCCCGGGCUCAACCUGGGAACGGCAUCCGGAACUGUCAAGCUAGAGUGCAGGAGAGGAAGGUAGAAUUCCCGGUGUAGCGGUGAAAUGCGUAGAGAUCGGGAGGAAUACCAGUGGCGAAGGCGGCCUUCUGGACUGACACUGACACUGAGGUGCGAAAGCGUGGGUAGCAAACAGGAUUAGAUACCCCAGUAGUC
rnacentral:rRNA from 1 species